CAGGUGUGCUGGGGUUUGCUAUGCUAGGAGCUGCUGGUGAUUAGCCUUUAGCAGCUAGCCUCUGGUGGAGAGGAGUCAGCAGAGUUCAGACGUCACACUCGUUUUGGAUCAAGCUCAGUGCUGGUGUUACCUCAAUGAAACACGACCUGUUAAAAACAACCUUCCAUGUCCUGGAUGAACUGAUUCCGAUUCGUUAUGUAACAUAUCAGCUGAUGAGAAGAACCUCAGGCCACCGGUUGCACUGACAUUG